rnacentral:lncRNA from 1 species
AGAAUUUCCACCCUACAUCCAGACUGUGCUAGACAGAUACUCUCAGUGUAACAAGAUUGCAGACUGUCUAUGACAAUGUACAGGAACCGAAUCUGCAACCCACAUAAAUGUUCAAUCACCCAAAGCUAUCUAAAGCUCCUGUUUGGGGACUCCAGGAGACCAGAGGAGCAUCUGCAACAUCCUUCAAAGAAUGGAAGGAGCAGACUGCCCAUCUACAGAGAAGAUUCAUAGGUAGAGCUCUCCCUACCACAGAGGUCACUUCCCAUCCUCCACUGGAGACACCAGCCAACUCGGGAAGCUGUUCUGUGUAUGGAAUUGGAAGCUCCACUUCCCUAAAAUGGGGGAGGAAGAGAUGGUUGGCCAGCAACUUCAGGU